UACGAGUGGUGCAAGCGUUGUUCGGAAUCACUGGGCAUAAAGCGCGCGCAGGCGGCGACGCAAGUCAACUGUGAAAUCCCCCGGCUCAACCGGGGAACUGCAGCUGAAACUAUGUCGCUAGAGUGUGGGAGGGGAGAGCGGAAUUCCUGGUGGAGCGGUGAAAUGCGUAGAUAUCAGGAGGAACGCCGGAGGCGGAAGCGGCUCUCUGGUCCACUACUGACGCUGAGGCGCGAAAGCUAGGGGAGCAAACAGG
rnacentral:rRNA from 1 species